rnacentral:rRNA from 1 species
UACGUAGGGUGCGAGCGUUAAUCGGAAUUACUGGGCGUAAAGCGUGCGCAGGCGGUUUUGUAAGCCAGGUGUGAAAGCCCCGGGCUCAACCUGGGAAUGGCAUUUGGGACUGCAAGGCUGGAGUUUGGCAGAGGAGACUGGAAUUCCCGGUGUAGCAGUGAAAUGCGCAGAUAUCAGGAGGAACACCAAUGGCGAAGGCAGCUCGCUGGGACGGUACUGACGCUGAGGCGCGAAAGCGUGGGGAGCAAACAGG